UAUGGGAUCCCGGCAUGUGCAAGGUGAGGACUUUAGCUACUAGGCUACUGUGCUAGGCCCUUAAUUUAGUCAUUCUUUAAGAAGACCUGGUAUCUAUUCAUUACCUUUCUCCGUGUAAACUCAGAAUAGGAGGAUGGGAACUUUUUAAGGAAUGUAGAAAAACAAAUCAUAUUGCUGUCCUAUUACCUCAUGCAGUUUUUCCAUAGGCUUUGACCAAAAAUUUCUCACACUUCUAAUUGGCAAAGGCAAAAACAGUUCUGUUGAAAAAAUUUAAGUUUUGAUAGAAGUGAGCAUUCUGUCACAGUUAGAGCGUUAAGCUUAAUGGUGUUUAUGUGCCAUGGUCCUUAAAGACAGAACAGGAUAUAUUCCUGAGGUAAUGGCAAAUAAGACAUUCAGGCUUAGUUCUGUCCCAGAAUCAGAGUGGCUUUGUUCCCAUGAAGCAUUAAUGGCUGGGCCUAUUAAUAUUGCAGUGCUUUUCCCUUUUAGUAUGUGGGCAGAUUAUCAAGCAGUCCAUUAAAUAAAGACCUCAAAAUCCUAGGUUAAUGGGGCACUGCCUCAUCUGUUUUUGCACUUACUUAGGAGGAAACUGAAUGCUGUCUCGACUGAGCUGUGUGGGAGGUUGGACAGAGGGUUGUGAGAGUAUCACCGUUGUAGGACACACCCAAAACUGGGGUCCACAGGAGGUACAUUUCCUGGCCUAUUGGGAACAUGUGAGUUAAAGCAGGUGGAAGCGUGUCACUUGAAUCCUGCUCUAAAAGGUCUUUGCUAUUUGACAAAAGCAGACAUGAGGGCAGACAGAGAGGCAGCAGCAAGAUCACGCAGGAUGGCCAACCUCUGACAUCAGGAAUAGUGCUAUCUGCAGGGUGCAGACUGAGUUUGCAUACAAGAGGGGCAGUCAGAAAUUAGGUUCAGUGUGAGCCACCCAGUGGAAAUUCCGAUAAGUUUAAUAAAUUGCAAAACUGUACAUGCACUAUGUUGUCUUAAAAUGUCAUCAUAAACUUCAUUGUCUCAACUCUGUGUAUGAAAUGUCAGUUUUUUGUUUGAUUUUUGCUUUGGGCCAAAUGUACACAGAAUGUUUAUUUUUGAAAGUGAAUCUUUUUUUGUGGUUUAUGUUCAAAUACAGAACAAAAACUCACUGUGCUGUACUUAUUAAAAAUCUUCGAAGCAGAAAGAGGGCACCUUGCUUAAGAUUUUCUGACUUUGUGAUGGUGUGAAUGCAGUAUGUACUCAGUAGAAACCAUGGUUUGUGAACUUCCUCUGGGCUUGUGAUUUGCACUGUGAUCUUUACCUUUCAGGUAUUGCUGGACACCGACAGGAGGCGCAUCUCCUGGGAGUGUGCAGGAAAGAGCUGAUGCUCUGCAGGGUAUUGUGCUGCUGUGCUGGGAUGUUCCAUAAGUCAAAUAUGUCCAAUGCAUUUUCAGCUGAGGACAUUUUCAACUACUGAUGGGUUGAUUGAUUGUUGGUCAAGAAGCAACUGUACUUCAGAAACACUUCAAAGUCCUGAUCUUUGAUAAAUGUGUCUUUCUUUUAGGCUUUUCUAUAGUAAAAUAUUUGGUUUUCUGACCUAGAGCAAGAACUCUGAAAAAUGCAGUCUAACAGUAUGCAAGGCGGAACUAUCUGUUUUCAUCUAUAUUAUUACUGUUGCUGUUACUAAAAGGCAAGCAGUCACUGGAGCACAGUACCUUGCAUCUUCAAUGCUCCAGCUGUAAAAUCUCCUAAAAUAAUUUGCAUCACCAGCUCUCAAAAUGACCGAGGAGUCCUUUAAAAUCGAGAUUUUACUCUGAGGGGAAAUGAAUGUGAGAGCAGUUUGUAACAAGAGUAACUAAGUUGAGCUGGAAUCACAUAAAAACAUACUGACAGAUUAUUUACUGGCAAAACACUAAUAAGAUGGGCCUCUAGUGCCUGGAAGGGGCCAGUUUAUCCAUCAAGACACCUAAAUUGCACCCAAAGAGGAAGUUAAGAGCCUGAAGAAUUGAACUCACCUUCAUAGAGGGAAUCCAUUUUUGCUUCAUUAUCAAAGAGCAGCUGGGCUGCCACCGAGGAAUUUAUGCAGAUGUGAUGGUGUGGAAUCUUCCUCAAGCCCCCUCUCUACCAGUGAAGAAGAAACACAAUGAAACACAAACGUGUGGCCCUGAUACACUAAUUGGAAUGCAUGCUUCUGAGCUCAGGAAGAUUCCUCCAGGAAACAGAAUAGAUCAUUACAGGAGAGAAGGACCCCAAGCAGAAACCGGCAUUUGUCUAGUGUUAUCAGUGAAUGGCCUUCCUGAUGCUGGGUACAAUGAUCUGGAAGGAGCUUAUCGUCUGCUGGGUGGAAACAUCCCAUAUCAUCUGCAUUUGAUUUAGUAAAAAGGCUGAGAAGUGACCAUUCUAUACUAUCUGAAUCCAAGGGCUACGGCAGACUCUGAAGAAAUUGCAGUUGUAAACAUCACUUGCUGAGAACACAUCUCCUGGAAAAGAAGCCCUCUGAAGCCGACCUGCCUUCAUUCUACAUGGGCGUGGAGUGGCCUUGUUUUGUCUUGAUUCCUCACUGCCACAUAAUGGCCUCGUCAGAUCUUGAGGUUGUAUAAAGUUGCUUACGUUCAAUAGAACUCCAGGGCUUUGUUGUAUGUGCCAGACCAGCUCCUGCCAGCUCCAAGGCCAGUCCGAUAAAUGUCCCAGGAAAGAACUCUGACAUGGAGCAAUAUAACUCAGCGUCCUUAGAGCAGGCAGACUAAAAGCUGUAUCUUCUGUCAGUGUCAGACUCAGCGUCAGCACACUGUGAAGAUCGUAAAGUGGGAGAAAGGAGAAAUCCUCUGUACGCUUGCAGGAAGGAUGUGGUUCCAUGAGGAAUCUAUUUCCCCUGACCCAUCAUCCCCCACUGCUGCUGGACAGCAUCUGAUCUUGAAUGUGAACUUGAGAUCCCAGGAUGGUGUGGGGAGCCCAUAAACUUUUGCUGACAACUGUGAAGUGACAGCAU